CCACCCAUCUCCUACGACACCCCCUCUCUGUCACCACCGCCAUCCUCCCCGCACACAAAGCACUGCAAUGAGCUGAAUUCAGAGUGCCGAAGAAAACAGCGAAACACCUCCGGAGGCGGAGAAGGAACGGCCAUGGAAGGAUACAAAGCGCAGCCUUCCGCUCCCCUCCAGUGACAGCCCCAGAGCGGCUCCUGCAGCGGGGACCCACCUGGAUGCACCCGCACAUCCCCGCAUCCCCCGAGCGGCGAUCCCGGGGGGGAUGCGAGGCGUCGAUCCCCGUUAACCGCAGCGGCGACUGAGCCCUUCCUUGUGGGAAGCGCCUCCCGAGCGUGAUGGGAACCACAGAAGCCACCCUGCGGAUGGAGAAUGUGGAUGUGAAGGAGGAGUGGCAGGACGAGGACUUCCCCAGGCCUCUCCCAGAAGAGACUGGCAUGGAGUCGCUGGGCAGCCCUACAGAGGACGAGCACACAUCCUCUCCCCCACAUACCUUAAACUUUAACGGGGCGCACCGUAAGCGGAAGACGCUUGUCGCACCUGAAAUCAACAUUUCCCUGGACCAGAGUGAAGGCUCCAUUCUGUCCGAUGACUUCUUGGACACGCCAGAUGAUCUGGAUAUCAACGUGGAUGACAUCGAAACGCCCGACGAGACGGAUUCCCUCGAAUUCCUGGGGAAUGGGAACGAGCUGGAAUGGGAAGAUGACACUCCUGUGGCCACGGCCAAGAACAUGCCUGGGGACAGCGCAGAUCUGUUUGGGGACGGCGGGACAGAGGAUGGGAGCGCAACCAACGGGCGGCUCUGGAGGACCGUCAUCAUUGGGGAGCAGGAGCACCGCAUCGACCUGCAGAUGAUCAAACCCUACAUGAGGGUGGUGACGCACGGAGGGUACUACGGAGAAGGACUCAAUGCCAUCAUCGUCUUCGCUGCCUGCUACCUGCCAGACAGCAACCUGGCUGAUUACCACUAUAUCAUGGAGAACCUCUUCCUCUACGUGAUCAGCAGCCUGGAGCUGCUGGUGGCUGAGGACUACAUGAUCGUGUACCUGAACGGAGCGACGCCGCGGAGGAGGAUGCCGGGGCUGGGGUGGCUGAAGAAGUGCUACCAGAUGAUAGACAGACGGCUGCGGAAGAACCUCAAAGCCCUGAUCAUUGUGCAUCCCUCGUGGUUCAUCCGGACGGUGCUGGCUAUUUCCAGGCCCUUCAUCAGCGUGAAGUUCAUCAAUAAGAUCCAAUACGUUCACAGCCUGGAGGAACUGGAGCAGCUCAUCCCUAUGGAGCACGUCCAGAUCCCAGACUGCGUCUCACAAUUUGAAGAAGAGAGGAUCAAGGCCAGGAGAGAAAGGGCAGAAGAGAAACAAGACGUGGCUGAAAGGGAAAGCAGGCCUGUGCCCCCUGCAGAGGAUCAAGAAACCAGCAUGCCAUGAAUCGAGGCAGCGCGGGACAAAGGGAGCAGAGAGCGACGCAGCCCAGCACUCCCCCCUGGAAAUGACCUUUGGGUAGAAGACCUUUCCACCGCCCAGCUCUGAGCUCUGUAAGGUCACGGGGCCUCCCCUCUCUGCACAACGCAAAGUCCUCCAAACUUCUGGAAAACAUUUGACUUUUCAACAACAACAAGAAAUAUCUCCAAGGAUAGCACGUUUUUUUUUCAGGAUGGGUUCCAUCGUGUCCAGCAAUGGUCUGCACAGAGCUCGGAGCAAACAGAGACUCCACCUCCUCGCAGUGAGCAAAGAGCAUCCCGCAGUCCAUUUGCCCACAGACAGAUCUGUUUUUCUUUUCAGACCCCGCUCACUGCGACACUCUGCUGCCCCGGGGGAUCGCUAAUGCAAGAAAUGAAAAGAGUCCAUUUUCCCCCUUGCUAUCCCUUUAUUUUCCCCCUGUAAAUGCCAAGUGCCCACCGCUCCUCCCAGCCUUGACCUCCGUUCAUCUGCUGCCAGUUCUUAUUAACUCGUAGUGAGCCGUUGCUGUGGGUAGAUGCUGUGUUUUUACCAUACUCAUUCUGCCUCCGUAGGGCCCUGGUAGCUUUGGGAAGGGUCCCACAGAGCCUCCCUGUGAGCUUCUCCUCAUGUCACACGCAGUGGUCAGAAGGAGCCCUGCAGACAGGAGUGCUUCCUAUGCCUCUGUGUUGGCUUCAUGCCCUCGGACAAUCCUCCAUCACCGCUCCCUUGGUGGAUUCCCACUGCCGAGGGUCAGGAACGCGCCGUGUGUCCUGGGGAGCACAGACCCCUCGGUACAGACAGAUCCACGUGCAGGGAUGGAGGAGAAAGUUGGGAUGUGAUGUGGGACUGUGCUGCCUGGUGCCGGGGCUCAGGAGGGCUUUGGGAGCAGAAGGGAGGAGAGCAUGUUGGAAAUGAGGACGUGGUGAAGGCACUUGAAGAUGCUGCUCUUGUCACAGCGAGCUCACACGCAGCACACCGGGCAGAGCCCUGCACCAACAAGCGAGGAUGGAGACCUGUGGGUCCCACACCCAGCCACCCCAACCCACAGCAAUCCAAAGUUAACCACGGAUUUCUGUGAGCAUCAUGAUGGGCCCCACUGGCAAGGGGAAUUCUGCACAGCAGAGAAGGACUGAACAGCACUGCGACAUCGGGGCAGCCGCUCCAGAUCCUGUGGGCUUCAGAUCAUCCCAUAAGCACUGGGGAUCUCCCUGUAGUAGGGUGGGAAUUUGCCAUCUCCUGUCGAUAACACUGAGGUUGUCCUUCUGUGGUUUUGGACCAUUUUAAUGCAUUUAGACAAAAAAAAAAAAGAAGAAGAAGAAAAAGAAACAGAAAAAACAGAACUGCUGUGCUUACACAAAAGAGUGCAAUUGGACGUUGGGAGUGGAGUUAGCAACCCCAUGGGUGGGAUGUUGGAUAGCAUCAAAGCUCAGCUCCCAAACCCCUUCUGACAUCUGUAGUUAUUAAGAACUCCAGUGAAGAAUGUUUGAAACACAAUGGGAAACCGUGCUGCCACAGAGCACGGGGCAGUGAGGAAUGUAGAGGACGUGUGGUGCUGGGACCACUUCACAGUGCUGACGUCCCACAGUCCAUGAAAUGCAGCACUUCAUGACCCCUAAGGACACGGUUUGGGGUUUUGUUGUUGGUUUGUGGGGUUUUUUUCCUCCUUUUUCAAUUCUUUUCCAAAGAACAGACUCUGGGUCUAUGACUUCAGCAAAGCUGCAGGCCUGAAGAUGAUGUGUCCUGGGUUUCCAGGAGAUUCCUUUGGGCUGAGAGUUCCCUCUGAGGAUGCACAGACUUAAUAUGAGAUGCAUAAGAAGUGGUGUAAACACGAGUCCAUUCGCAACUUCUUUUUCCAAAAGGGCACUUUCUGAUGGAGCACGUGGGAUGCACCUUAUUUUAAUUUUUCACAAGAUGUCUGGAUUGCAUCAGCCUUCUGCUCCUGGAUGGACGUCUGUGUAGCUUUUCAGCACGGAAGAGAACGUUCAGCCCAUAGCGGUGUGGGCACAGCCAAUGGGUGAGGGCUCAGCUCAGCCCACAGUGGGUGCGGGUGCCCCAUAUCCACAAUGGAUACAGGCACAGCCAAACCCAUAUGGGAUACAGGUACAGCUAAAUGUGAAAAGUUUUGGUAGCAACGAAAAACGUAUCACUGACUUGUUGUUUUGGAGAGCAAUUCAGAUGCUCAGCGAAACUCUUUGCUGAGGACACAGCAGUGGGGUUGGCAGCGUCCCAUAAUUAACUGCGCUGCAAUGCUGAUGGCUUUAGGGCUGGUAGAGCAGCACAGGCUUCAACACAUUGCCAUGGGGUGGCCAAGGGAUGGGCAGAGGGGCAAACGGGUGCAACAGCAGCUGCACCUGGCUGAAAAUGCUGUCAGAAAUUCACGUCCUGCUGUCACAGAGGUGAGAGGUUGAUGGUAACUCUGGAGGACAGCGGACAAAAAUUGGGGACAGGUGAUGGGGAAUUGGUGAUGCGGAGCUGCCAGCCCUGAUGAUGGGACUCACCGACCAUAAAGCAGUUGACAAGGGGCCAAGAGGAAUCCAGAGUGACUGCAGACACACUUUUUUGCUGUUUCAUAGAGCGCUGUGAUCGGAAUCAAUGUACGGAAGGUCUGGUGCUGAUGUUUCCACCGGAGUGCAGAUUGUAGGAGAUCCUCAGAGCAAAUCUGCUCUACCAGAAGAUAUAGAAUUCACAGAAUCACAGAAUGACAGAAUUGUAGGGGUUGGAAGGGACCUCCAGAGAUCAUCGAGUCCAACCCCCCUGACAAAGCAGGUUCCCUACACAGUUGAGCAGUGGUUGACCAACAGCUGGCCAAUGGUUGACCACAAACCAAGAUCUGCGCCCCAGCAGCCACGAAGGCCAACAGUUGACCAAUAAUUGACCAACAGUUGGCCACAGGUUGACCACAAGCCAGCAGGGCAUCCCAGCAACCAUGAAGGCCAGCAGCGUCCCAGGUGACCAACGGUUGGCCAAGGGAUGGCCAACAGACAACCACAAGCCUGCAGAGCGUCCCAGUGGCCAAAAAGACCAACAGCAGCCCAGCUGACCAACAGCUGGCCGCCCAACGUCCCACCCGACCCC